rnacentral:rRNA from 1 species
CCUACGGGUGGCAGCAGUGAGGAAUAUUGGUCAAUGGGCGCGAGCCUGAACCAGCCAAGUAGCGUGAAGGAUGACUGCCCUACGGGUUGUAAACUUCUUUUACAAAGGAAUAAAGUCAGGCACGUGUGCCUUUUUGUAUGUACCUUACGAAUAAGGACCGGCUAAUUCCGUGCCAGCAGCCGCGGUAAUACGGCAGAUCCGGGCGUUAUCCGUGUUUGAUGGGUUUAAAGGGAGCGUAGACUGGGUGUUAAGUCAGUUGUGAAAGAUUGCGGCUCAACCGGGGAAGUGCAGUUGAUACUGGAAGCCUUGAGUGCAGUACAGGCAGGCGGAAUUCGUGGUGUAGCGGUGAAAUGCUUAGAUAUCACGAAGAACUCCGAUUGCGAAGGCAGCUGGCCGAGGUGCCACUGACGUUGAGGCUCGAAGGUGUGGGUAUCAAACAGGAUUAGAUACCCUGGUAGUC